CCUACGGGAGGCAGCAGUGAGGAAUAUUGGUCAAUGGGCUUACGCCUGAACCAGCCAAGUCGCGUGAGGGAAGACUGCCCUAUGGGUUGUAAACCUCUUUUGUCAGGGAGCAAUUGGCGCUACGCGUGGCGUUCCGAGAGUACCCGAAGAAAAAGCAUCGGCUAACUCCGUGCCAGCAGCCGCGGUAAUACGGAGGAUGCGAGCGUUAUCCGGAUUUAUUGGGUUUAAAGGGUGCGCAGGCGGAAGAUCAAGUCAGCGGUAAAAUUGAGAGGCUCAACCUCUUCGAGCCGUUGAAACUGGUUGUCUUGAGUGAGCGAGAAGUAUGCGGAAUGCGUGGUGUAGCGGUGAAAUGCAUAGAUAUCACGCAGAACUCCGAUUGCGAAGGCAGCAUACCGGCGCUCAACUGACGCUCAUGCACGAAAGUGUGGGUAUCGAACAGGAUUAGAUACCCGGGUAGUC
rnacentral:rRNA from 1 species